rnacentral:rRNA from 1 species
UCUGAAUCUGCGNACGGCUCCGCAAACCAGUUGUAAACCAUAGCAGCGUUCCGCCCGGCUUCAGCAAUGGAGCCGGGCAUUAUAUGGAUAACCGUGGUAAUUCUGAGGCUAAUACAUGACACACCAACCUGCCGGGCUGGGGGCAACUCCGGCUAGGUGGGGGACGUGCAAACUCCCAUUGCUAUAACAAAACCACGAAUGAAUGCACGUUCAGACCGCCAACCAACGGCAAGGGGGCUUCGGCUUCCGAACCGGGCGGCCCCUGCAACGGGCUUCUGACCUAUCAACUAGACGGCAGCUUUUCUGAAUCUGCGAACGGCUCCGCAAACCAGUUGUAAACCAUAGCAGC